AGCUGCAGUACAAAAACAAGAAGCCAAAGAGAGCGUGAACGGGCAGUGAGCGCACCCCGCAGGAAGCCCGCCUGCUGUGUCCGCGGUGAGGGCCGGCAAGCGCUGCUCUCAGCUCUCACACCUUUACUCCAGUCCCGGCCUUGCCACUGACCAGGCCUGUGGCCCAGAUAACCACCCUGUCUUGGUUUCUUCCUGUGUCACAUGAAGGAGACAAACCAGGCAUUCUUUCUCUCUUUUCUUUUUUUUAAAGUGAUCUCUGAGCCCAAUGUGGGGCUUGAACUCAUGACCCCCAGAUCGAGAGUCACGCGCUCCAAGAGGCAAGCAGGCACCCCAAACUGGGCAUUCUUAAAGAUUCCUCUCAGUACAACCAGACUCUACUUACUGAAGUGGUGGAGACCCUUACCAACAAAAGCAAAUAUGACGCUGCCGAAGAAACAGACCACCUCCCCGCCCACCCAAACCUCGCGCAUCAGUACUCCCACGUGUGCGACUCUGGCACUCUUCCUACCUUCACAGUGAAGUUCAGCAUCAAACAGUCUGGGUGGGCUUCAGCCAGUUUGUAAAACAGAUCUCUCCAUGUGGUAUGUGCGAUCAUCUGUUCAAGCCAAGCCGGGGUCUGCCGACAAACAAACAGGCGGCAAUGUAAAAGGUCUAGCUGGGGCUUAAGUGAAGACGACAGCAAAUAAACAGUCGUCGGGCACUCCGGCUGGAAGGGCCCCCGAGAGCAUCCGGCCCCGGCCCUGCAGUCCCGGCAGAGGAAGCAGCCCCAGAGCCGGUGACACCACCUGGGAGGCUAAGCUGCAGCGCCAGGGCCCUGAAGGCCCACUCACAGCUUCCGCGAGCCUCCGCGGCACACGAGAGCAUAGGGAAGGUGCUUCUGGGAGACACACAGGAGCCUAGGGAGGCACACGGAGAGCGGGGCUGCAGCAGACGCACGAGUGACACACAUUCAUCGUCUGCGUGCCCCUGGCAGGACGAGGAGACUCCAGUAGCUCAGCGGCUUCGUCCGUCACCAGGUGUGGUGGCCACAGCUCCCCUCCUGUGUGACUGACAGACCCACAGGCUGACUCUGGGUCCACCUCUCAUGUGUCCCAAGGCCAGGCUUCCCCCUGGACACUCCCAGGCACCCACUGAGUGUGGCAGGGCUCGUUGGGCAGGCCUGUGCCCUGGACACCUGGGGCUCAGUUACAGGGGAAGGCGGUUCGAAGAGGCCCCACUGACACUGCGAAACUGCCUGAAAACAGCACCCUCGCCUAGGGCUCUUCACCCCCAACCUUCCUUCCCUCCGAUCCGCCCUCGGGAGCCCCAUCUGCCUCACAGCCCCCACUCCUGCUCAUCUCCCCGCCCACACACUCCCCUGUCACCUCCCCCGCACCAACCGGACCCGGAGCCUUCACCCGGGGCACCCGGAUGACCAGCACAGUCCCCUCAGCCUGUGCUCUGGAGUCCGCCCUGCCUCUCCCCAGAUCACUGCCUGGGCACCGCUCGGCUCGCAAGAGCUCCCCACCCUGCGCAGAGCACCCGGAGCGCAGCUCCGACGCGACGCAGCUCGUCUCACACCGAGACUUUAGGACCCAACUGUUCCCGUUCCUCCCGUCACGGCGCGCCCCACUGUGCGCGUGCACGAGCCGAGGAACAACAGAGACAGACUCCUCACCUCUCCUUCUUCAGUGAAAAUGGAAUCUGCUUUGCGGGGGUCAAAAUGUUUGAUCAAUAGACUCUUCAAGUGAUUUUCCACCGUUUCCUGGACCUGCACGGGUUCGACACCUGCAAGAAAAUGAAAACAAGCAGGUGGGAAAAGGGAAGCCCUCGGCCGCUGCUCGGCUUCAGGAAAAGUACAGGUCGGAAGUGUGCGUGUGAAUCCAGGAUCACAGAACCGCUUCUGACCACUUGGAAGCUGGGACGUCUCAUAAAAAUUACCGUUUGUUACAUAUUCAACGGUAAGAUUCAGAAAGGAGCACAGGGCGGAACACGCAGGAUGUCUGCCUACACGGAAAGGAGCACGGCAUCUUGGCAGCGUUGGUAAGGUCAAGGACAAACUGCCCACCCGGACAGGCGGAAGGAUGGAGAGAGAGAGACCCUCCAUGGCGGCAGAGAGCAGAGGGCAGCCACAGAGGCGCGCCGUGUCUCCGCGCUGCGGCAGCAGUGAGCCCCUGCCUCCCGGGCAGACCAACCCCCUGCUGUCGUCCUCACCCAGCUCGGUGGACUUGCAGGCUCUGCCUCAAUCAUAUUAACUAAAAGCCAUAAUAAUACCCAGUCCUACGUCAUCCAUCACCUACGCUGGCUAUAACAGAUCUCUUAAAAAUGACACACGGAGGGACGCCUGGGUGGCUCAGUGGGUUAAAGCCUCUGCCUUGGGCUCAGGUCAUGAUCCCAGGGUCCUGGGAUAGAGCCCCGCAUCAGGCUCUCUGCUCAGCGGGGAGCCUGCUUCCCCCCCCCCCUCUCUGCCUGCCUCUCUGCCUACUUGUGAUCUCUGCCUGUCAAAUAAAUAAAUAAAAUCUUUGGAAAAAAAAAAAAAAAGAAAGAAAGAAAAGUUACCCAUGCAAUUGUUUAAAAAAAAAAAAAGACACACGGAACAUACACUGUAUAAUCCUGUAACUCUACAACAUGGUAGGGCAAACAGCUCAAUGAGAAUCACAUCCGCAGGCUACCUGUAAGCCUCAAUUACUGAAUCCAACCUAAGAAUCAAGCAGAUGAAGGUGGGCAGGAAGUUCAGUUCCGACCUCCAGAAGUCUUAAAAACCAGGAAAGCAGACAAUUGGAAUUGGAAUUGGAAAAAAGGCCUUUCCAAUUUACCAGCAUUGUAACCAUGCAAAGGUCUGUAAGAAAGGCAGGGUGGGGAAGUGGCCAGCCAGGAUGGGGGGCACCCACAAAGCACCUGUCUGAAUGAGCCACUCAGCCAGCAGGUUCACGGUCUGGGCCACGGCUGUGUAGUUCUCAGAUAAGAGUUGGAUAACGUUCUCCGGAGACCCUCCUGCCUGAAAAUACCUAGAAAAAGUAACAGAAAAGCCAUGGCACUCAAAUGAAUGUAGAUGGGCAUGGGGAUCAAUGAUCAGAGAGCUAGGAUAUUCAGAUUUUUAAAGUGGGGGGGACUAGCAGCCUUCUGUUCCAAGACCACAGUACUCUCCCUUCCGCACACUGUCCUCCGGAUCUCCGAGUUGCCCCCAGCCUCCUCGCAUACCAGUGCCUUUCCGCACACACCUCUUCAGAGUGUUAAAGAUGGAGGGCUCCAUGAUGUAAUCCCGGGUAGAGAAUUUGUGCAGGCAUUCUUGCUGGACCUCGGCGUCAUCUUCUCCCUCUCCAUAAUCAUCCUCCUGCUGGUGGUAAAAGACGCCAAGCGAUUUUUUCAUUAACACAAGUAGCCCAUAAUCUCACCUUAAAUCUGCAUCACCCUGUCCCUUUUGAAAGUGUCGCAUAUACAUCUUCUCAUCAACUUUCAUGACAGUCUCAUGAAGUGGUCGGGACAAGUAAGGGGCAGCUACGAAAAUGGACGGACUUGUGCUGUCCCCCAACCCGGCGCACGUGUGUACAGUGGCCACACAAGUCACCUAAGCUGGCGGGGUGGCCGUUUCCUCCUCUACUAAAGGUAAUAAUAGUGACUGCUCCCAUCCGUCUGUUGUAAGGACUCCGUAAUCUAAUUUCUGGAAGAACUGAGCAGAGUACCUGACAUUUAGGAAGAAUUCAAUAGAUACUAGUUAUUGUGUUCACAACGACUACUUCAUAUGUGCCCUUUAAUGCUUCCCUCCAACAAAGGCUGAUGAAGCGAUUCCCGAAGGCAUAAGCCAUCAAUACACUGUCAGAAAGUGAAGGUCACAGACUUGCCUUGCAUCGCCAGGCCUGGCUGGAGACCCUGUUCUGGGUGGAAAAAAUCUUGGGCAAGUCACCGUAUCUCAGAACAAGGCUGGGUGGUGAUGUGGUGACGUCUAGGUCCGUCCAGCACGAACGCUGACAUCCCAACGAACAAGCAGAUGCUUUGUGAACACUUACUCUGUACUGAGCACUGCACUUGUCACCAGGACACCUGGGCCAUAUCAGAUACCGCUUUUUCUGCCAAAGGACUUCACAAACCAGGAGACCAGCCUCCAAGUGACUGACUUCUGGGGUAAGAAGUGGACCAGGAAUCAGCAAACUACAGCUCAGGGCCAAAUCCCACCCUUCUGUUUUUGUAAAUAAAGCUUUAUUAGAACCCAGCCAUACUCAUUAAAAAUUUUUUUUGAAUUUUA